rnacentral:rRNA from 1 species
UACGGGGGGGGCAAGCGUUGUUCGGAAUUACUGGGCGUAAAGGGCUCGUAGGCGGCCAACUAAGUCAGACGUGAAAUCCCUCGGCUUAACCGGGGAACUGCGUCUGAUACUGGAUGGCUUGAGUUUGGGAGAGGGAUGCGGAAUUCCAGGUGUAGCGGUGAAAUGCGCAGAUAUCAGGAGGAACACCGAUGGCGAAGGCAGGUCUCUGGGCCAUAACUGACGCUGAGAAGCGAAAGCAUGGGGAGCGAACAGG